rnacentral:rRNA from 1 species
AUACGGAGGAUCCGAGCGUUAUCCGGAUUUAUUGGGUUUAAAGGGUGCGCAGGCGGGAGAUUAAGUCGGCGGGUAAAUUUUGCAGCUCAACUGUAAAAGAGCCUUCGAAACUGGGUUCCUUGAGUGUAGCUGAAGUAGGCGGAAUUUGUGGUGUAGCGGUGAAAUGCAUAGAUAUCACGAGGAACUCCGAUUGCGCAGGCAGCUUACUAAACUACUACUGACGCUCAGGCACGAAGGCGUGGGGAUCAAACAGGAUUAGAUACCCUGGUAGUCCACGCAGUAAACGAUGAUUACUAGCUGUUUGCGAUACAAUGUAAGCGGCUGAGCGAAAGCGUUAAGUAAUCCACCUGGGGAGUACGUUCGCAAGAAUGAAACUCAAAGGAAUUGACGGGG